GGUAUACCAAUCUUUGAUACAACUACGCAAUGGUUAUACGAUAAAUGAAAAUAUAAAAUGCAGAAUAAGAAAUAUAAAUAAAACCUUUAUUCUUCUAUAAUGUAAUAAUGUAAAUUGUUUAAAAAAAUUACUCAAUCAUGACUUUAUUAGGCAAAUCUUUGUUACUACUAAUGAAACAGAUGACUACUUCUGUUAACAAAUUGUAUAAGAGACCAUUUACAGUAUGCAUAGAGGGCAAUAUAGGAAGUGGUAAGACAACAUUCUUAAGUCAUUUUAAACAAUUUGACAAUACAACUGUUUUGCAAGAACCAGUAGAACUUUGGCGAAAUGUUGGUGGAACAAAUUUAUUGGAAUUAAUGUACACAAAUCCUAGACGCUAUAGUUUCUUAUUCCAAUCCUAUGUACAAUUAACAAUGCUGCAACUUCAUACUUACGAAUCUGGAAUGCCUUAUAAAAUUAUGGAAAGAUCAGUAUUUAGCUCGAGGUGCUUUGUAGAAACUAUGAAACGUUCUAAAUUAAUACAAGAUGUGGAAAUAAUGGUCUUAGAAGAUUGGUAUGACUGGUGUAUACAGAAUGCUAAUAUAGUAACGGAUUUAAUAAUUUAUUUGAGGACAUCGCCGGAUGUUGUAUAUGAGAGAAUGAAAAGAAGAGCUAGGAAAGAAGAAAAUAGUGUAUCAUUAGAAUAUUUACAGCAAGUUCAUAAUAUUCAUGAUGAAUGGCUUUGUCAUCAGACAUUAUUUAGUGUAUCAGCACCAGUUUUAAUAAUAGAUGGAGAUAAAAGUUUACAAGAAAUGGUCACAGAAUUUGAAAAUUGCAAAGACUUAAUUUUUGGUAAAAAAGGAGAAAGAAAAAAUUAGAAAAGAAGGAAAAAUAUGUUACAAAUGUAUGUAUGUGUUACUUGAAAAUAUUUCUUGUAUUUCUUAUUUAUAUUACUUCUUUGAAUUACUUAUAUAUAUAUUAAUUGUACAUUAGUCGCAUAUAUUUUCUACUUAUGUAUAUACUAGAAAUAUAAUAUAAUCAUUUUAAGUAUACCUGUAUAGAGAGAGAGAGAAAGGAAAAGAGAUAAAGCUAAUCGUUUUAUAAUGAUCAUAUAAUAUGACAUAAUUGUACAUUUAAUAUACAUAUUAAAUAAUUACAUUUAAGAAAAAAAUGGAUUUCUGAACACUAAGCAGUGAAAGAUUAUACAUAGUUGCUAAUGCAAAAUUGCAGUUAUCUUAAGCAAAGCAGCAAUCGGCGGAUGAUAAGCCACGCUUUCGUGCGAAAAUGGAUAUCCUAAGAAUAAGAUAUUUGUACCUGGAAAAUAUAUAUCUACAUAUAAAUAUAUAUCUACGGUUUUCCUUGCCCAUGGAACGCCCACUUAUGCUGCUUUAUAGUGAUAUUUGCAUUAAUUGCAUGUUGUUCGAUGAUAACUACAUGCAUAAUUAAGAUUAACGUUAUUGUAAGAUUAAAAGAUUAUAUUAUAGGAUUGUAUUACAAUAAAUAUUAUAUUAUAUUCAUUAGAAUUUAUUUAUUAAAACGACUCUUUAAUACAAUAUACAUUACAGAUAGAAACAACAGUUAACUUUUUACUCUAGUUAUUAUAAUUAAUAUAAGUUGGAUACAAUUAAAAAUAAUUUUCGUUUCUGACUAAUAAAUAUGAUAAUUACUUGUGGAAUAUAUUCGAUUAAAA